ensembl:snoRNA
UGUCCCUGAUGUGUUGAAUGCAGAGUUGGUGCUCUCAUCAGCCAGGGGCAAACCAACCCUAUUAUCCCAGCUUGGCUUCUGGUCUACAUCUGUGCCUGGUUCCUGCCUUGGGCACAUUG